rnacentral:rRNA from 1 species
AGAGUUUGAUCCUGGCUCAGGAUGAACGCUGGCGGCAUGCCUAAUACAUGCAAGUCGAACGAAGUUUCGAGGAAGCUUGCUUCCAAAGAGACUUAGUGGCGAACGGGUGAGUAACACGUAGGUAACCUGCCCAUGUGUCCGGGAUAACUGCUGGAAACGGUAGCUAAAACCGGAUAGGUAUACAGAGCGCAUGCUCAGUAUAUUAAAGCGCCCAUCAAGGCGUGAACAUGGAUGGACCUGCGGCGCAUUAGCUAGUUGGUGAGGUAACGGCCCACCAAGGCGAUGAUGCGUAGCCGGCCUGAGAGGGUAAACGGCCACAUUGGGACUGAGACACGGCCCAAACUCCUACGGGAGGCAGCAGUAGGGAAUUUUCGUCAAUGGGGGAAACCCUGAACGAGCAAUGCCGCGUGAGUGAAGAAGGUCUUCGGAUCGUAAAGCUCUGUUGUAAGUGAAGAACGGCUCAUAGAGGAAAUGCUAUGGGAGUGACGGUAGCUUACCAGAAAGCCACGGCUAACUACGUGCCAGCAGCCGCGGUAAUACGUAGGUGGCAAGCGUUAUCCGGAAUCAUUGGGCGUAAAGGGUGCGUAGGUGGCGUACUAAGUCUGUAGUAAAAGGCAAUGGCUCAACCAUUGUAAGCUAUGGAAACUGGUAUGCUGGAGUGCAGAAGAGGGCGAUGGAAUUCCAUGUGUAGCGGUAAAAUGCGUAGAUAUAUGGAGGAACACCAGUGGCGAAGGCGGUCGCCUGGUCUGUAACUGACACUGAGGCACGAAAGCGUGGGGAGCAAAUAGGAUUAGAUACCCUAGUAGUCCACGCCGUAAACGAUGAGAACUAAGUGUUGGAGGAAUUCAGUGCUGCAGUUAACGCAAUAAGUUCUCCGCCUGGGGAGUAUGCACGCAAGUGUGAAACUCAAAGGAAUUGACGGGGGCCCGCACAAGCGGUGGAGUAUGUGGUUUAAUUCGAAGCAACGCGAAGAACCUUACCAGGCCUUGACAUGGAAACAAAUACCCUAGAGAUAGGGGGAUAAUUAUGGAUCAC